rnacentral:rRNA from 1 species
GAUGAACGCUGACAGAAUGCUUAACACAUGCAAGUCUACUUGAAUUUGGGUUUUUUAACUUAGAUUUGGGUGGCGGACGGGUGAGUAACGCGUAAAGAACUUGCCUCACAGCUAGGGACAACAUUUGGAAACGAAUGCUAAUACCUGAUAUUAUGAUUAUAAGGCAUCUUAGAAUUAUGAAAGCUAUAUGCGCUGUGAGAGAGCUUUGCGUCCCAUUAGCUAGUUGGAGAGGUAACGGCUCACCAAGGCGAUGAUGGGUAGCCGGCCUGAGAGGGUGAACGGCCACAAGGGGACUGAGACACGGCCCUUACUCAUACGGGAGGCAGCAGUGGGGAAUAUUGGACAAUGGACCAAGAGUCUGAUCCAGCAAUUCUGUGUGCACGAUGACGUUUUUCGGAAUGUAAAGUGCUUUCAGUUGGGAAGAAAAAAAUGACGGUACCAACAGAAGAAGUGACGGCUAAAUACGUG